GACCUGUGGUUAGGAGUGAAAGGCUAAUCAAACCCCGUGAUAGCUGGUUCUCUUCGAAAUAGCUUUAGGGCUAGCGUCGGGGAAGUACUCCGAGGAGGUAGAGCACUGAUUGGCUUAGGGUCCCUAACAGGAUACCAAAACCAGUUAAACUCCGAAUGCCUCGGAUCCCAUUAUCCCGGCAGUCAGUCGGCGAGUGAUAAGAUCCGUCGUCGAGAGGGAAACAACCCAGACCAUCGGCUAAGGUGCCCAAAUACCGCUCAGUGGUAAGGAUGUGACGUUACAUAGACAGUGAGGAUGUUGGCUUAGAAGCAGCCACCAUUUAAAGAAUGCGUAACAGCUCACUGGUCGAGGAAUUCGGCGCCGAUAAUGAUCGGGAAUAAGGUUUGAACCGAAACUGCGGACUCGUAAGAGUGGUAGGAGAGCGUUCCUGUCGGCGUUGAAGGCAUCCCGGAAGGGUUGCUGGAGCGGCAGGAAGUGAAUAUGCAGGCUUGAGUAACGAUAAAUGGAGUGAGAAUCUCCAUCGCCGAAAACCUAAGGUUUCCUGGGGAAGGUAAAUCCGCCCAGGGUUAGGCGGGACCUAAGGCGAGCCCGAAAGGGGUAGUCGAUGGACAGCAGGUUAAUAUUCCUGCCCCAUCAUGGAAGGUUGAUCCAGCGUGACGGAUCUUGAAGUUCAACGGGACAGUGAAGCGUCCAGGCCCUUGAGGCCGGUGUUGGGUGGAUAGGUUCCUAGAAAAGCCGUCUGGUGACGACCAUGAUGCCCGUACUAAAACUGACACAGGUAGGUGGGGUGAGAAUCCUAAGGCGCUCGAGAGAACCAUCGUUAAGGAACUCGGCAAAAUUACUCCGUAACUUCGGGAGAAGGAGUGCCCCCUGGGGUGCAAGCUUCGGGGGGUCGCAGUGACUAGGCGGUAGCGACUGUUUACUAAAAACACAGGUCUGUGCUAAGACGGUUAAGUCGACGUAUACAGACUGACGCGUGCUCGGUGCCGGAAGGUUAAAGGGAAGGGUUAUCCCUCGGGAGAAGCUCAGAACUGAAGCCCCGGUAAACGGCGGCCCUAACUAUGAGGGUCCUAAGGUAGCGAAGUUCCUUGUCGGGUAAGUUCCGACCCGCACGAAUCGCGUAACGACUUCCGCAC
rnacentral:rRNA from 1 species